rnacentral:rRNA from 2 species
UCAUAGAGGGUGAGAAUCCCGUCUGGGAUGGGCGGCCGCGCCCGUGUGAAGCUCCUUCGACGAGUCGAGUUGUUUGGGAAUGCAGCUCUAAGCGGGUGGUAAAUUUCAUCUAAAGCUAAAUACUGGCCGGAGACCGAUAGCGCACAAGUAGAGUGAUCGAAAGAUGAAAAGCACUUUGAAAAGAGAGUUAAACAGCACGUGAAAUUGUUGAAAGGGAAGCGUUGUCCACCAGACUCGCCCGGGGGGGUUCAGCCGGCACCUGUGCCGGUGUACUCCUCUCCGGGCGGGCCAGCAUCGGUUUGGGCGGCUGGUGAAAGGCCCCGGGAAUGUACCACCCUUCGGGGUGCCUUAUAGCCCGGGGUGCCAUACAGCCAGCCUGGACCGAGGCCCGCGCUUCGGCGAGGAUGCUGGCGUAAUGGUGGUCAACGGCCCGUCUUGAAACACGGACCAAGGAGUCUAACAUCUAUGCGAGUGUUCGGGUGUCAAACCCGUCCGCGCAGUGAAAGCGAACGGAGGUGGGAGCCCCUCGGGGCGCACCAUCGACCGAUCCUGAUGUCUUCGGAUGGAUUUGAGUAAGAGCAUAGCUGUUGGGACCCGAAAGAUGGUGAACUAUGCCUGAAUAGGGCGAAGCCAGAGGAAACUCUGGUGGAGGCUCGCAGCGGUUCUGACGUGCAAAUCGAUCGUCAAAUUUGGGUAUAGGGGCGAAAGACUAAUCGAACCAUCUGGUAGCUGGUUCCUGCCGAAGUUUCCCUCAGGAUAGCAGUAACGACAUCAGUUUUAUGAGGUAAAGCGAAUGAUUAGAGGCCUUGGGGGUUGAAACAACCUUAACCUAUUCUCAAACUUUAAAUAUGUAAGAAAGCCCUUGUUGCUUAGUUGAACGUGGGGCGUUAGAAAUGAAACGUUACUAGUGGGGCCAUUUUUUGGUAAGCAGAACUGGGCGAUGCGGGAUGAACCCGAACGCGAGGUUUAAGGUGCCCGGAAUGCACGCUCAUCAGACACCACAAAAGGUGUUAGUUCAUCUAGACAGCCCGACGGUGGCCAUGGAAGUCGGAAUCCGCUAAGGAGUGUGUAACAACUCACGGGCCGAAUGAACUAGCCCUGAAAAUGGAUGGCGCUCAAGCGUGCUACCCAUACCUCGCCGUCGGGGUAGAAACGAUGCCCCGACGAGUAGGCAGGCGUGGGGGUCC